CGCUGGGGCUUCUUCUUCUGCAAUAAUUUCGCUCAAACUUCUUUGUUUCACAUUGCAUAUUCCAACACCUCAAAUGGGUACACUUCACUUGUCUCACUUGCUUUCUUGUCUCACUUGCUUUUCAAACUGCAUCAAAACCAGAAUGUACAUUCACAGCCAAAAAAAGAAAAAAAAGAAAAACACAACCUUUGUGGAAGUGUUUGAUUCAUUAGAUGUUUUGAAAGGAGGGGUUUUCUUCAAAAUUGGACCUUUUGUUCUCCAGGCUUUGUAAUUGUCACCAGAGAACCAACAUUGAUCAGAAAAUUAGCAAUGUUUUUUACACAAGACACUGUAUGCUUUCUAAGGUAAGUGCAGUUCUUGGUUAUUUUUAGCCCAAGAUUCUGGUGUUUACAUACAAAAAUGUUGCCAAUUCAAUGUUUGUAUUGAUGGAUGAAUCCUUCCCUUAGAAUGAGAACUCUGUAGUCCUAUUUACUUUCAUUGAGCAAGUGGUACUUAUAUCAUAAAAGAAUAUUGUUGGCAACAUGAAUCUUUCUUUAAUUUAGCAACUGGAUUGCAUUCAUAACCA